UUCAGCUCCUAUUCCUCCUCCUCUUCCUGUCAGCGCCGAGCCUACACAAACCCCCUUCAACACUUUGAACGCUACGCAAUUAGGUCCAAGGGCGACCACGAACCAACGCUAGGGCUCAAAUAGUGGAAUCUGAAAAUGGCCGAUUCUAGUUAGUCGACCAUUUUUUUCUCAAGGAAUAAUGUCUGUAGCGGAGCUCAAGGAGCGCCACGCGGUGGCCACGGAGACGGUGAGCGAGCUCAGGGAGCGACUCAAGCAGAAGCGGCUCUCGCUGCUGGACAUGGACGAGUGCUUAACUACUUGGAUGUUCUCCCAUUACUUCACCGUUCACCGUUUUUCAAAUCUCUAAUUUUCCAAACAUGAAAUCUUUGGACAAGAAGGGGCUUCAACAACUGACAAAUUGAUUGAAUUAGAAUACAGGAGAUGGAAGAGCUUGGUUAUGAAUACACAAAGCAGAGGCUUGCAUAUACACGUUGUAGGCUCAGAAAUACCAAUCAAUACCUUUUCUUCGGAUAGCUGCUAUGUGGGAAGAAGAAAAGGUGUAUUCAUUGGAUUGGACUUCUGAAAAGAAUCGAGAAAAAUGAGAGAAAAAUGAGAGUUACAUAUGGUAUUGAUGAGUCGUACAAGUUAUCAGUUCUUACAUCUGGGAAGCCUUCUUUGUAAUCAUUUUUUGGUUGCUUAGCUACAUAUGAAGUUUAAUUUCUCAAGGAACAUUGUUGUUGAUGUAUGCCUUCUUUGGCACUUACUUAAAAACUUGACAAUUAUGUAGUUUUCUCGGGCCAUUUUUGAGACUUCUUCACUUGUAAUUAACUCUG